rnacentral:tRNA from 1 species
GCCCCGAUAGCUUAAUGGAUAGAGCACCUCGCUUCGGACGAGGCGGUUGGGGGUUCAACUCCCUCUCGGGGCG